GGUAACACGGAGGGUAUAAAUUGUGGCUGGGCUCUGUGUGUGCAUUCACAUCAAAAGCCAAAAUGAAGACAUGCACAGUCUUUGUUCUAGUGGCUUUCAUCACCGUGGGGAUGGAGAUGGCCUGUGGUGACCCUCUGAGACCUCCUGUCCAAGAGCAACGAAGACCUGGAGUCUGCCCGAAGGUGCCCAAAGAAAUCAUUGGGCCUUGUUUUGAUAGAUGCACAGGAGAUGCAUCAUGUCCCAAGCGAAUGAAAUGCUGCGUCCAUGGAUGUGGUCGUGUCUGCAAAACUGCUCUCCCUGCAAAGGGUGGCUUUGAUGGCCAAGUGAAAGAUGGACAAGGUGUUUAUUAAGCGUGCCUGGAGACCAGCCCCAGAAGAUUUCUCAUGAAUCUGAUGCUUGGCUAACAAGACUCUUCUACAAACCAUUCCUGGCUAUUCUCUAUCCCUGGACUUGCAGCUCUAGAAGAUGAAGAUCUAAAGUGGUGGAACGACCACUUCUAAAGAGCUUAUGUCCAAAAUAAACCUUUUCUGUGGCAUUAUUCAGGCUCUGUCAUUCUUCCCAUUUAGGCAUUCUAGUGGACCCUCUGUGGAUGGGCAGGACCAUAUGUGUGUCCUGCACUGAGCCCAUGAAUGCAAGGUACUCAUGAAAGAUCAGAGGCAAGAUCCUUCCAGCUAGGUCCUUUCCUCCUUCCAUGCCCAUGUCUCUAGACAGGGAAAAGGGCAUAAUAAUAUUUUCUCAAUCAUUCUGUGAAUAAAAAUGACCUUCUAGCACUUAGCAAGCCCAUUGGAGCAGGACUGGAUGCCUAACCCCAGGAGAGCAACCCCAGCCCUUGGGAUGUGGGACUUUGAGUGGCAAAGACUGGUAAGUGCCAGCUCCUGCCCUGGAGUGGCUAGGAGUUAGGGUACAGUUAGGACAGAGGCCCUGUGGGUGGAGUCUUUGAUUCAGAGUUUUCCUGAGGCAGAGGAUAAACCUAGGUCUCCCAGAGAAGCCUUGACAAAAACUAUGGUCUGAGCUGACCGCUACAAGCUCCAUCUCCCAGCGCUCUCUGUUCACUUUCCCACCUUGAUUCCCCCCACUUAGCCUGCCGAGUUUGGCAGGCUCCCAUAUCAACUUGUCCCUGUCCAUCACACUGCUGUUGCUUCUCCAUAGCACAUCUUAUAACCCCAGUGGCCCAUGGCCUCACCAGUCUGUACAUUGGAAUGAGCAUAUUAGCAUCAGUAUCUUCUUUUACUGGUUGGCCAUCUACGUCCCAAACCCCAGCAUGCUUUAGUCACUCUUGGUCAUUUAUGGGGGUUCAUAGACACCUCUAACAUGGUCUCAAACCAUUUCACCUAUUGUCUGCCAUUCUGAAUGCCAAAGAUACUUGAGGAUGGCAUCCUACAACUUCCACUUACGUUUCUGCCCUGUAGAUGUCCUGAAUUCCCUAGAAAGUUGUUCGUGCUCUUUUGUGAGCUGCUCAUUUUUUUUCUCGCCUGCAUUCCAACCACCUUUAUAUUUUGGAGAAAACUCUUAUUUCUCCUUAUGGAAAUUGACAAGGGCCAGACAGUCUCACCCUGCUUCCUAGCAGGUAGGGUUUGGAGUUAGGAUGCUAUGUUCUGAUGAUGUGGAUUGAUCGGGAGUGACACUUAAGACUUAUGAAUUGUCAACACCAAUUCACAACGGCAGAGGUGCCAGGGACAGCAUCCUCACCAGAUUUGCCACGGGCUGGACUUGGCUAUGUCCUCUUCUACCUGCUGUAUUUAGGUUCUUGAUAUUUUUCCCAAGCCUGGUUCACCAGUCUUCCCUACUGUUUCUGUGAGCUGUAUAAUAAUGUCUUUCCAGAAUUCCUGCUCUCUCAAGUUGGACAGAAUUGGCUUUUUUGUUUGCAUCCAAGAACAUUCACUUGUACAGAAAUGGGUGUCAGGAGUGGACACGGGCCAAAAAUACUCAGGGGGAUGGCAGGAGUCUGGGUUUUAUGAACUGGUCUAGUUAGAAGCCCCCUUGUUCACAUGCCUAUGCUCUCCUAUUCACGUGGCCCACCCCCUUGAGACCUUGGAUGGUCUCUGUUUUGGGGAGCCACCUCCAUGGUUGGCAGAGCUACAAAUGGAACCCUGGGUUGCUCACAGCCUGUGUUUCUUUACCCGUGACCUCUGGCUAAGCGCCCCUCACCCUGUGGCCAUUUGCUCUAAUGGGCUUCUCCUUUCCCCCGACCUCCCUCUCCCACCUUCAGUGGACAGGGGUCUGUCAUUGCACCUGUGCCUCUGGGCGGCUGCUGGGUGCCUCCUCGUACAAGACCCUGAUGCCACCCCACCUCUGUGGCAGCAUCUCUCAUUCCCUGGAGACCCCAUUCAGUGCUCCCCUGCAGCUCCAAGGACCUGCUGAGCCCAGGUCCCAGCCUGUCACUAGUUCCCCAAGUCCUGCCUGCAGCCCCAGGAUCCUCAAGGCAGUCUGAGAGGAGGAUUAAUCCCUUAUACAGAGGGGUGCAGACACCAGGUGGGCACUCCCCUCGGCUCCCCUCUCUGGCCCCUCAGAAAUGCCUUGAGCACCAAGUCUGUGCUGAUGUCCAGCUCCUGGAGGGCUCGGCCUACGCACUGCAGCCACCAGAGAGGACCCAUCUGCGGAGUGGCAGGUGGAAUAGGCCUCCCAGGGCAGCUGGAUGCCCACCUGGCCCCAAAGCCAUUCUUCAGCCUCCCACUUACCUCUUCUGAAGGGUAACCAGGUGUGGCUUCCACCCAGCCCAGCUACCUGCCUUGGGAGGCAGCAGAGACUGUCACCCUCUGCUGGCCAAUUCCUGUUACUGCAGAAGGAGGUAAAGUGGCCUCAGCGUGGGCAGAGCAGCAGAGAGGAGCCAGUUACUCAGAGGGCAGAUGCUCCAUGGAAGCCUCCAGCACAAGCAGUCAACCCCUAAAGCCUCCAACAGAUCCCCAUGUGAGUGAAAGUGUGAAUGCCUUCCAGAAUUUCUCCCAGAACUUGUACCUAGAGUUCAGAGAGUGGAAGGGAGGAGAGAGACACACAGAGAGAAACAUAGAGGUGAGACUCUCUCUCACCUCUGAGCCCUGACCAGGGCCGGGGAUCAAGCCUGCAACUGAGAUACGUGCCAGUGACUGGAAUCAAACGCAGGGCCCUUCAGUCCGAGAGCCAACAUUCUAUCCACCGAGCCAAACUGGCCAGGAGGAAAGUAAGUCCUUUGGACACGAAUCACACCACCACCCUUCCCGCACUUCAGAUAUCGACCUCUACCCUACUUAGAUGCGGCAGUCCUUGGAAAAACCCAGAACAGAAACUUCCCUGCCAGGUGAAGAGUUUCUCACUGGAGUGGCUUCAGGAAAUGCAAAUCGAAUGUCUGUAGUGGUAUUUAAAGACAUUCAGGGUUUCGAUGUGUGUUACACUGAAAAUAUGAAUAAAUGUCUUUUGGGAUGUAUUUACAUGUACUAAUAUUGUUAUUAAGAUAAUGGUAUAAUUUUUAUAAUUCUUUGCCCUUCAAAUCAGCUUCUAUUUGUACAGAAAGAAUACAAGCAUUAGACUGGGGACCAUGGCAACCAGGUUCUAGCUGCCAUUCCAUCUCAAAUUCUCUGGGAGUCCUCAGUUACUUCCUUCUUUGACUCUGGGCCUCCACAUUGUAAACUGAGGAGUUUGGACCACGUGGUCCAGCUCUCUAGUUCUGAGGCUGCAACUCAGUGGAGUUUGGAAACACCACUUCCCUUCCAGGAUUUUAUUGUAAGCAAAUGGGAGGUGUUUUUACCAUGUAAAAUGCAUAGGACUCUACAGUUGGUUUGGCCUACCAAACCCACAAACUUAGGGCCACAGUUGGAGAGAACUCAAGUCUUUGUUUGAAAUAGCUGUCCCUGUUCCAACCGAGAGAAAUAUUUAAACUCAUCAAGUAUCAUUGGCCGUGGUGAAUGUGUGAAAUGCAACACUAUACAGAGAAAUCUCUCUGUGUUUACAACCAUACAUAUUUGCACUGAAAGAGUCCUAAGCAAAGAUGCAGGCCCAGAGAGGUCAAGCAACUUUCCCAAGAUUACACAGGCAGCAGGAGGGAAUGGAGACCAACAUGUAGGUCUCCUCACUCCCAGCCUGGUCAGAACUGCUGCAUGUGCCAGAGUUAGAAAAGCUCACCUUUUGGACUUGUCUGUCCAUAUUUGCCUGUACCCUUCCCAGGAAAUAGAAAUGUUGAAUUUUAUAUUUUAGAGUUGGAUCUUAUUGAAGUUUACUAGAGAAAUGACAACUGAUGAAACACGCACAGUCGCCUAAUCUCUAGGACAGUUUCACAAAAGGAAUGAUGAAGGGUCUUUGUUCAAAGCUGCCCCUGCCUCUUCAUCAGCAGCAGAGUAACCGGGAGGCAAGAGAAGGAAAGGGGGCUCCCAGACUCCCUAGGAACUGAGCAGAAGCAGCCUCAGCUGGAUAGGUCUGUGUGGACUUCCUAAAUUUGCACCAGAACAGGGUCCUGGUGUGCUGAUGGAGCUUGGGCCUACGGAAAACAAGGUGGUAUUGGAGUAAGAAAAUGACAAAACAAAUCUGAGUAUGUCUCACAGUGUCCCCUGACCUUGCAUCUUUGGGGAAGGUACUCCCAUUGCUAGCAUUCUCAAAUGCCUGAGCCGCCAUACACUUGUUACCCAAAGUCAGACCUUAUAUACAAAGUGCCACACUUCUGCUCAAAUGCACUUGAAUUCGGGGGUCAUGUCUAUACAUGUCUCCUAGGGAGCGAGGGCAGGGUCUGGAGGCAAGGCAAGGAACUGUCAGCUGAAGCUAAGAGAAGUUAGCGUGGCAUGGUGGAAAUGGCGAGGAACCAGAAGAGCCAAGUUUCACUACCAUCCAGCUGUAUGACUUCAGGCAGGAAACCUAUCUUCUCUGUUUCCUCACCUGUGAGAAGGGGAGAAUCCCAUCUCCUGAAAGCACUGUUGAAGGGAUGAAAGGAGAAGACAGAUCUAUAGUUCCCUUUCUCUGUCCCUUUCCUUAGCAGGAUCUACAUGAGAGAUGCUACCAUGUACUGACCACCUACGAGAUGCCAGGCACCUACUAGCUCAUCAUCACACUUGAAAGCGUUUUCACAAAUGUCAGCUAUGGAAAGAUGUGGUACUCAAGGUGGCCUCUAGGAAC